AGUGAACGCUGGCGGUAGGCCUAACACAUGCAAGUCGAACGGCAGCACAGUAAGAGCUUGCUCUUACGGGUGGCGAGUGGCGGACGGGUGAGGAAUACAUCGGAAUCUACUUUUUCGUGGGGGGUAACGUAGGGAAACUUACGCUAAUACCGCAUACGACCUACGGGUGAAAGCAGGGGAUCUUCGGACCUUGCGCGAUUGAAUGAGCCGAUGUCGGAUUAGCUAGUUGGCGGGGUAAAGGCGCACCAAGGCGACGAUCCGUAGCUGGUGUGAGAGCAUGAUCAGCCACACUGGAACUGAGACACAGUCCCGACUCCUACGGGAGGCAGCAGUGGGGAAGAUUGGACAAUGGGCGCAAGCCUGAUCCAGCCAUACCGAGUGGGUGAAGAAGGCCUUCGGGUUGUAAAGCCCUUUUGUUGGGAAAGAAAAGCAGCAGGUUAAUACCCCGCUGUUCUGACGGUACCCAAAGAAUAAGCACCGGCUAACUUCGUG
rnacentral:rRNA from 1 species